GCCAUUGGAGAGAAUGCCCGCCUGCCAACGUCAAGGCAGACCCCCCUAGGCAGUUCCUAACACUGACCCUUCAGCCUACUUCCUUGAGCUUCUGGCAAAGAUAUCUCUAAUGAAACAGAGAGGGGUAUUUUUUACAUACACCCCUAUAUACUCAUUAACCCUUAAUAGGGAACACAUGGGAUGGGCGGCAACAUUGUAACAAGGCUGUGUGAUACAAAGUAAAUACAAAUACAAAAGUGUAGGACCCGCUUUAGGGGGGUCUGCCUUGACGUUGGCCGGCGGGCAUUCCCUCCAAUGGC